rnacentral:rRNA from 1 species
UACGGAGGGUGCGAGCGUUAAUCGGAAUUACUGGGCGUAAAGCGUGCGCAGGCGGUUUUUUAAGACAGGCGUGAAAUCCCCGGGCUCAACCUGGGAAUGGCGCUUGUGACUGCAAGGCUGGAGUGCGGCAGAGGGGGAUGGAAUUCCGCGUGUAGCAGUGAAAUGCGUAGAUAUGCGGGGGAACACCGAUGGCGAAGGCAAUCCCCUGGGCCUGCACUGACGCUCAUGCACGAAAGCGUGGGGAGCAAGCAGG